GGGCCCAUAGCUCAAUGGUCAGAGCCACCGGCUCAUAACCGGUCUGUUCCAGGUUCGAGUCCUGGUGGGCCCACCA
rnacentral:tRNA from 1 species